rnacentral:lncRNA from 1 species
UCCAAUGUCCAGGGUUUCCGAUGGCACCUGUGUCAAGGUCUUCCAACAACUCCGGGUCUUCCAGCGACUUCAAGUCUUCCAAUAAUCUCAAGGUCUUCCAGAUAAUCCUGAGCUUCCAGAAAAUCCACAUCUUCCAGACAAUCCAUGUCUUCCGGACAAUCCAUGUCUUCCAAGAAGCUCCAAGUCUUCCAGUAAAUCAAGUCUUCCAGCAAAUCCAGUCUUCCAGCAAUUACUGGUCUUCCACCAAAUCCAGAUCUUCCAGGAAAAUCCACGUCUUCCAGGAAAUCCAUGUCUUCCAAUAAUUUCAAGGUCUUCCAUCAAAUACAGAUCUUCCAGCUAAUCCAUGUCUUCCAGAAAAAUCUGUGUCUUCCACCAAAUCCAAGUCUUCCAGUAAAUCUAGUUCUUCCAGAAAAAUCUAGAUCUUCCAGUCAAUCAGUGUCUUCCAGAAAGAAAUCCAGGUCUUCCAGUCAAUCAGUGUCUUCCAGAAAGAAAUCCAGGUCUUCCAGUCAGUCAGUGUCUUCCAGAAAAAUCUACGUCUUCCACCAAAUCCAGGUCUUCCAGUCAAUCCACAUCUUCCGGAAAAAAUCCAGGUCUUCCAGCCAAUAUAUGUCUUCCUGAAGAUCCACGUCUUCCAGAAAAUCCAUGUCUUCCAGAAAAUCCAUGUCUUCCAGUAACCUCCCAGUCUUCCAGAAAAUCCACGUCUUCCCAACAAUCCAAGUCUUCCGGAUAAUUUGGGUCUUCCUGAAAAUCUACGUCUUCCAAAAAAGCCAUGUCUUCCAGAAAAUCCACAUCUUCCAAUGGCCUCCAGGUCUUCCAGACUAUCCAUGUCUUCCAGAAAAUCCUUGUCUUCCCUUAAAUCUAUAGCUUCCAAAAAAUCCGGGUCUUCCAGGAAAUCCGUGUCUUCCAGCAAGUCCACGUCUUCCAACAAAGCCAUGUCUUCCAGACUAUCCAUGUCUUCCAGAAAAUCCUUGUCUUCCCUCAAAUCCAUAGCUUCCGAAAAAUCCAGGUCUUCCAGGAAAUCCGUGUCUUCCAGCAAAUCCACGUCUUCCAACAAAGCCAUGUCUUCCAUCAAAUUAAUGUCUUCCAGCCUACUUGUGUCUUCCAACAAAGGUACGUCUUCCAACAAAGGUACGUCUUCCAACAAAGGUAUGUCUUCCAACAAAGGUACGUCUUCCAGAAAAUCCACGUCUUCCAACCAAGCCAUGUCUUCCAGAAAAUCCACGUCUUCCAGAAAAUAUAUGUCUUCCAACUAAGCUACGUCUUCCAACAAAUCCAUGUCUUCCUAUAUCUCCAGGUCUUCCAGCAUCUCCAGGGCUUCCAGCAUCUGCUCGUCUUCCAACAUCUCCACGUCUUCCAGCAUCUCUGUGUCUUCCAGCAUCUUCAUGUCUUCCAACAACUACCCAGUCUUCCAUCAACUGGCUCAAUAUCCAUGUCUUCCAACGUCUCCAGUGUGCUGAUCUUCUGACAUUCAGGUCUUCCAGUGUCUGCAAUAUCCAGGUAUU